rnacentral:rRNA from 1 species
UACGGAGGGUGCGAGCGUUAUUCGGAAUUACUGGGCGUAAAGGGCGCGUAGGCGGUUGGGUAAGUCCGCUGUGAAAACCACGGGCUUAACUCGGGGCCUGCAGUUGAGACUGUAUGGCUUGAGUGUGGGAGAGGAGAGUGGAAUUCCUGGUGUAGCGGUGAAAUGCGUAGAUAUCAGGAGGAACACCGGUGGCGAAGGCGGCUCUCUGGACCGCAACUGACGCUGAGGCGCGAAAGCUAGGGGAGCAAACAGG